rnacentral:rRNA from 1 species
GAUGAACGCUGACGGCGUGCUUAACACAUGCAAGUCGAACUGAAAGUCCCUGUUUUUGUGGGGUUCUCGAGGGGCGAACGUGUGUGUAACACGUGGGUAUCCUGCCCUUGCUUUUGGGAUAACUUGAGGAAACUUGGUCUUAUAUCGGAUUGGGAUUCUUGCUGCUUGUUGGGUUUUGGAAGCUAUCGGCGGUUGGGGAGGGACUCGCGGCUUAUUAGCUUGUUGGUGGGGUAGUGGCUUACCAAGGCUUUGACGGGUAGCCGGCCUGAGAGGGUGAACGGCCAACUUGGGAAUGAAGAAACGCCCAGAACCCUACGGGAGGCAGCAGUGGGGAAAAAUGAACAAUGGGACGGAGAGUGAUGUAGAAACGCUGUGUGCGGGAUGAGGGCCUUCGGGUUGUAAACAGCUUUCGCAUGUGACGAAGCGUGAGUGACGGUAAUAGCUAAAGAAGCACCGGCUAACUACGUG